rnacentral:rRNA from 1 species
GACGAACGCUGGCGGCGUGCUUAACACAUGCAAGUCGAACGGAAAGGCCCUGCCUUUGUGGGGUGCUCGAGUGGCGAACGGGUGAGUAACACGUGAGUAACCUGCCCUUGACUUAGGGAUAACUUCAGGAAACUGGGGCUAAUACCGGAUAGGAGCUCCUGCUGCAGGGUGGGGGUGGGAAAGUUUCGGCGGUUGGGGAUGGACUCGCGGCUUAUCGGCUUGUUGGUGGGGUAGUGGCUUACCAAGGCUUUGACGGGUAGCCGGCCUGGGAGGGUGACCGGCCACGUUGGGCCUGGGAUGCGGCCCAGCCUCCUCCCGGAGGCAGCGGUGCGGUAUAUUGCACUAUGGGCGGGACCCUGGUGCAGCAACGCCGCGUGGGGGAUGACGGCAAUCGGGUUGUAAACCGCUUUCGCCUGUCACGAAGCGUUAGUGACGGUAAUGGGUAAAGAAGCACCGGCUAACUCCGUG